rnacentral:tRNA from 1 species
GCUCCCGUAGCUCACCGGUCAGAGCGAUUGUCUUAUAAACAAUAGGUACUUGGUUCAACUCCAAGCGGGAGCA